GUCAGCGGUAAUAGCACGUUCAAUGCAUCAAUUUCCAACGGAUCACUGAAGUGAAGCAAAGUUGCGCGGGGUUGGUAUCUGAACGGGUGAAAGUGUGGGAAAACACUACCUACUGAUU
rnacentral:rRNA from 1 species